rnacentral:rRNA from 1 species
AGGACGAACGCUGGCGGCGUGCUUAACACAUGCAAGUCGAGCGGUAAGGCCUUUCGGGGUACACGAGCGGCGAACGGGUGAGUAACACGUGGGUGAUCUGCCCUGCACUCUGGGAUAAGCCUGGGAAACUGGGUCUAAUACCGGAUAUGACCUGCUCUCGCAGUGGGGGUGGGUGGAAAGAUUUAUCGGUGCAGGAUGGGCCCGCGGCCUAUCAGCUUGGUUGGUGGGUAAUGGCCUACCAAGGCGACGACGGGUAGCCGACCUGAGAGGGUGACCGGCCACACGUGGGACUGAGACACGGCCCAGACUCCGUACGGGAGCAGCAGUGGGAAUAUGCACAAUGGGACGAAAGCCUGAUGCAGCGACGCCGCGUGAGGAUAGGAAGGUCCGUUACGGGUUACGUAAACCUUCGUUU